CUCAGUGGUCUGCUCUACCCUGGACUACAGGUAAUAACAUGGUUAUAACACCCUCUACUCAGUGGUCUGCUCUACCCUGGACUACAGGUAAUAACAUGGUUAUAACACCCUCUACUCAGUGGUCUGCUCUACCCUGGACUACAGGUAAUAACAUGGUUAUAACACCCUCUACUCAGUGGUCUGCUCUACCCUGGACUACAGGUAAUAACAUGGUUAUAACACCCUCUACUCAGUGGUCUGCUCUACCCUGGACUACAGGUAAUAACAUGGUUAUAACACCCUCUACUCAGUGGUCUGCUCUACCCUGGACUACAGGUAAUAACAUGGUUAUAACACCCUCUACUCAGUGGUCUGCUCUACCCUGGACUACAGGUAAUAACAUGGUUAUAACACCCUCUACUCGGUGGUCUGCUCUACCCUGGACUACAGGUAAUAACAUGGUUAUAACACCCUCUACUCGGUGGUCUGCUCUACCCUGGACUACAGGUAAUAACAUGGUUAUAACACCCUCUACUCAGUGGUCUGCUCUACCCUGGACUACAGGUAAUAACAUGGUUAUAACACCCUCGGUGGUCUGCUCUACCCUGGACUACAGGUAAUAACAUGGUUAUAACACCCUCUACUCAGUGGUCUGCUCUACCCUGGACUACAGGUAAUAACAUGGUUAUAACACCCUCUACUCAGUGGUCUGCUCUACCCUGGACUACAGGUAAUAACAUGGUUAUAACACCCUCGGUGGUCUGCUCUACCCUGGACUACAGGUAAUAACAUGGUUAUAACACCCUCAGUGGUCUGCUCUACCCUGGACUACAGGUAAUAACAUGGUUAUAACACCCUCGGUGGUCUGCUCUACCCUGGACUACAGGUAAUAACAUGGUUAUAACACCCUCUACUCAGUGGUCUGCUCUACCCUGGACUACAGGUAAUAACAUGGUUAUAACACCCUCUACUCAGUGGUCUGCUCUACCCUGGACUACAGGUAAUAACAUGGUUAUAACACCCUCUACUCAGUGGUCUGCUCUACCCUGGACUACA